rnacentral:rRNA from 1 species
GCCCGCGUCUGAUUAGCUAGUUGGUGAGGUAAUGGCUCACCAAGGCGACGAUCAGUAGCUGGUCUGAGAGGAUGAUCAGCCACAUUGGGACUGAGACACGGCCCAAACUCCUACGGGAGGCAGCAGUGGGGAAUAUUGGACAAUGGGCGCAAGCCUGAUCCAGCCAUGCCGCGUGAGUGAUGACGGCCUUAGGGUUGUAAAGCUCUUUUACCUGGGAAGAUAAUGACGGUACCAGGAGAAUAAGCCCCGGCUAACUUCGUGCCAGCAGCCGCGGUAAUACGAAGGGGGCUAGCGUUGUUCGGAAUCACUGGGCGUAAAGCGCACGUAGGCGGAUCUUUAAGUCAGGGGUGAAAUCCCA